rnacentral:rRNA from 1 species
UACGUAGGGUGCGAGCGUUGUCCGGAAUUAUUGGGCGUAAAGAGCUCGUAGGCGGUCUGUCGCGUCGGCUGUGAAAUCCCGAGGCUCAACCUCGGGUCUGCAGUCGAUACGGGCAAACUAGAGUAUUGCAGGGGAGACUGGAAUUCCUGGUGUAGCGGUGAAAUGCGCAGAUAUCAGGAGGAACACCGGUGGCGAAGGCGGGUCUCUGGGCCGUAACUGACGCUGAGGAGCGAAAGCGUGGGGAGCGAACAGG